UGAGAACUCUUCUUCUUUGUGUAGAAUCGAGAUGGCUUAUGAAGCUCUUGAUGACCUGCAACAAAUCUUAGAUCAAAUCCUAGAACACCGUUAUGAUAUCCUCACUCAUUCUAUAAAACAUGAAAUUAUAUCCAUCCGCGACCAUUCUAUUGUGUUGCAAUGGAAUCUCAAACAUUAUCCAAACAAACAAAGAAUCAGAGAGGCAGCAAGUUCAACACAUGAGGUUAUUGAAUAUCUCUUCUCCGAAGAAAAUGUUUCAUAUGGUGGACCGAUGAUGUCGACAGUCAGACUUGCAAUUUUGAGGAAAUUAGCAGCGCGGCUGGAGUCAACCGUUGGAGAUGUGGUGGAUUGCAUCAAGGGUAAGGGCUCAGCCGGCAGCGUAACUGAUUCUCCCGAUGUUCGCUCAUCAUCAAGAUCAGCAAUCACAAGCAGCAAAGAUGAUGACGUGGUUGGAUUUGAACAAGAUGUGAAAGUGAUCAAGCGUCGGCUUUUACGAGGAUCAUCAAAACUACAUGUCCUCCCAAUUGUUGGAACUGGAGGUAUUGGUAAGACUACACUUGUUAAAAUUGUUUAUGACGAUGUAUCCGCUAUUAAACAUUUUGAUAUUUGUGGUUGGGUCACAAUAUCACAAGAUCAUAGUGUAGAACGCAUUGUUCUAAAUCUUCUAGCUUCCAUGAAAGGAAUUUCAACAGUAAGAGAUGCUGAGAGCGACAUUCCUAUGGAAACCUUAAUUUGCGAGUACCUAAUGGGUCGGAAGUAUCUUAUUGUAAUGGACGACAUAUGGAGCAAGAAAGCCUGGGAUGAUGUAAAGAUGUUGUUUCCUGACGUUGGUAAUGGGAGUCGGAUCAUAGUGACCACAAGGCUGCAAGAUGUGGCUGCUUAUGUCGGCUCUUCUAGCUCCAUUUAUACUAUGAGUCCGUUAGAUGCAUAUCAUAGUUGGAAUUUGCUAAAGCAUAAGGUGUUUGCCGGUACAUACUUUCCUAUUGAACUGGAAGAAAUCGGGAAGAAAAUUGUUCAAAAUUGUGGAGGACUCCCCCUUUCAAUCGUGGUGGUGGCAGGACUUCUAUCUAAGGUUCAUACUAUAUCCUCAUGGGAGCAAAUUGCUGCAAAUGAUGGGCAAGUUGAAACAAUAAUUUGUUCAAGUUAUACUCAUUUACCCAAUAACUCGAAGCCAUGUCUUUUAUAUAUGGCUGGCUUCCCAGAAGAUCAGGAGAUUCGUGUUUUUGAACUUGUUAAUCUUUGGAUAUCUGAAGGUUUUGUAACAUGCUCAAAUGGAUCUAAAAGCUUGGAAGAGGAGGCAGAAGAUUGUUUCGAUGAUCUUGUCGAAAGAAGUUUAGUUUUGGUCACCAGCAGGAGGAAGUCUGAUGGGAAAACAAAGAGUUGCAAGCUUCAUGAUCUCGUGCGGGAAUUUCUCGUAAGGGAGGCUGCGAAAGAGAAGGUAAUUCUUUCUGUUAUGGAUUACUUACCUACUCCUAUCCUGCGAAAGCAUUUUGUUCCACGUCUCAUAAAAGAUCAUCAUAGCAUAAGUGCUAGUUCGUAUGAUCUACAUCUCAAAGACUAUGUGCAUAGCUCACACAUCCGUACCAUAAUAUGCAUUCCGAAGAAAGGGUAUAGAUCUAUGGGCGCUGUAGAGAAGUUUAGUUCGCUGAGGGUCCUUCAUGUUUUACGCGGAAACGAUUAUUGGGUUUGGGAGCCAGGUCAAGUGUUCAAUCUGGUUCAUUUAACUUAUAUUGCUUCCAACGUUAUUUUUUCCUCAGCCAUAUCAAAGCUUCAGAAUCUUCAAACUUUAAUUAUUUAUAGAUCCGAGGUUGAUUUGCCCAUUGAGAUUUGGAGGUUGCGACAAUUAAAACAUCUUAUUGCCUUCUCAUUUCUCCCUUUACCCUUACCUGAAGGAAAAAAAUAUCCUCUUCAAAACUUACAAACACUUUCGCUGGUGACGAACCUUGUGUGGAGUAGAAGAAUGGUGAAAAUGAUUCCAAACAUUAAAAAGCUGGGAAUAAGUUACUCCAAGGCGAAGUUUGAUUCGGAUGCGCGCUAUCGCCUCAACAAUCUUAAAUAUCUAUGUGGGCUUGAGAAAUUGAAAUUGGAGAUGCAUGGAGAUCUUUCAUUAAGAGAACUGGAAUUGGUGAAGCGUGGAGGUGUUUCAUUUAAAAAUCUGGAUAAAUUUGAAGGAUUUUCAUUCGGAGGUAUAAACUUUCCUUCACAGUUGAGAAGGUUAACCUUGAGUGGUUGGAGGCUUUCUUGGAGUGAUAUGAUGACAACUAUUGGUUCAUUACCUAAUCUUCAAGUGCUUAAACUACGAAACUAUGCUUGUUUCGGCACAACCUGGGAAACAAUUGAGGGAGAAUUUCGUGAGCUGAGAGUCUUGCUAAUUGACCGAUCAGAUUUGCAUUUUUGGAGAACUGAAGCUAGCCACUUCCCAAGACUCGAGUGCCUAAUGUUUCGUCGGUGUCGUGAUCUAAGUCACCUUCCAAGUUAUAUUGGAGACAUUCCAACACUUAAACUGAUUGAGCUCGAUAACUGGACUACAUUUACAAGUCUUUAUUCAUCGGCAGUACAUAUAGUGGAGAAACAGCGGAGUUCUGGAAAUGAUAGCUUUCAAGUUCGUUUUAAGUGUUCCUGAUAAGCUGCUCAUUUUCAGAGUUUCUAAAUGUUGAUGAGGAUGACUUGGCUAACAUGGAUGAUGAAUAUAUGCCCGAUGGUGAAGACACACGACAUAAUGAGAACACCGGAUGGUCUUCUCGUACAAGGCACUUUCGCUGGCAACAGACUUGGUGUGCAAUAAAAGAAUGGUGGAAAUGAUUCCAAACAUUAAAAAGCUGGGAAUAUGUUACUCCAAGGAGAAGUUUGAUGCCGAUGCGGGCUAUUGCCUCAAGAAUCUUAAAUUUUUUUGUCUACUUGAGAAUUGAAAUUGGAGAAGCAUGAUGAUUUUUCAUGUAGACAACUUGAUUUACUCGGAUCCAAUAUGCGUGGAAUUUUUUCAUCUAGACAACUUGAUGAACUGAGAUUAGAGAUGCGUGGAGGUUUUUCAUCUAGACAACUUGAUGAAAUUGGAGGUCUAAAUUUUCCUCUACAACUGAGAAGAUUAACCUUGAGUGGUUGGAGGCUUUCUUGGAGUCAUAUGAAGAUCAUUGGUUCGUUACCUAAUCUUCAAGUGCUUAAACUAAGAAACUAUGCUUGCCAAGGCAGUUUAUGGAUAACAACCGAGGGAGAAUUUCGCGAGCUGCGGCUCUUGCUAAUUGACCGAUCAGGUUUGGUUGAUUGGAAAACUGAAGCUAGCCACUUCCCUAGACUCGAGUGCCUAAUACUUCGUCAGUGUCAUGAUCUAUAUGAGAUUCCAAGUAUUAUUGGAUACAUUCCAACACUUAAGCUGAUUGAGGUUGAGAAGGGGUUCAUGCGUAGUGUUUUAAGCUCUGCAGAAGUGAUAGAAAAGAUGCAACGAGAUUCUGGAAAUGAUAGCUUUCAAGUUCGUGUGAAGCAUUCCUGAUACGCUGACCGCUCCUUUUCAGAAUUUUGAAUUGCUGUUGUUGAUAAUGGAGCUUAUGAAAUAUUCGACUGUUCAAAUUAAAAAGGGAGAGUUGAAGGAAGAAUGACUUUAGUCACAGUUGAUGAAGCUCCAUACACACUCUCUGAAAUAUGAAAUAUGAAUGAUUGAGUAUUUUUAUUCUUAAAAUUAAAAUUUCUCCAAUCUCACAUUUUCAAUGAAAUAAAAAUCAAGCAAAAUUAACUUCAAUGAUAAAAAUAAAGGGCCUUACAUGUAUAUCUAAAAAUUUCAAUCUAUCAAAAUAAAUACAAAAUAAUUAAUUUUUAUUAUUUUUAUCUAUUAAGACUAAUCUUCUAAACGCUGCUCUAGUCAUUUAUAGAUAUACAACCAAAUAGCUUUUUUUUUUUUUGAGGAAAACCAAAUAGUAAAUGCAUGGUACACGCGUGUCCUGAACAGAAAGCUUGAAAUUACCAUACAUAUGAACAUUAGGAAGCUGCAGUAGUGCAGUGUAUAAAUUUGUGAGUAAGUCUACUUUCUUAUGGUCAC